rnacentral:rRNA from 1 species
AACGAACGCUGGCGGCAUGCCUAACACAUGCAAGUCGAACGAGACCUUCGGGUCUAGUGGCGCACGGGUGCGUAACGCGUGGGAACCUGCCCUUAGGUUCGGAAUAACUCCCCGAAAGGGGUGCUAAUACCGGAUAAUGUCUUCGGACCAAAGAUUUAUCGCCUUUGGAUGGGCCCGCGUUGGAUUAGCUAGUUGGUAGGGUAAAAGCCUACCAAGGCGACGAUCCAUAGCUGGUCUGAGAGGAUGAUCAGCCACACUGGGACUGAGACACGGCCCAGACUGCUACGGGAGGCAGCAGUGGGGAAUAUUAGACAAUGGGCGAAAGCCUGAUCCAGCAAUGCCGCGUGAGUGAUGAAGGCCUUAGGGUUGUAAAGCUCUUUUACCCGGGAUGAUAAUGACAGUACCGGGAGAAUAAGCUCCGGCUAACUCCGUG